AUCUUAUAUAUAUUAGGGUUAAAGGAAAAAAAUUAUGCCGCUCUUUCUCAUCUCCCCAUCAGUUUGAGCGCUUCGAUCACCCACGCCACACGCCACUGUCGGAGCACGCAUGAGGUCACGUUCGUUUGCCUAUUAGUUCGGCCACUCCGAUUAGCCGUGCCACUAGAUUUCAUAAGUUGUAGAGCAUCGACGCCGCCAUGGGUUUAGACGAUCUGCGUUCGUUUGUCAGAUCUGCCAUGGGUUUAGAUCUAUUCGUUCCCGUGCGUUUCGUCACUCCAGCUCCUAAACAUGUUGAUUUCCGGUGACUUUCUUAGGUAUUAAUGACCUAAAAUUUAGGUCAUCGAGUUGUAUAUUGUAUUUAAUCACACCUUUUAUCUUUCUCCAAUCAACAAGGGGAAGACCUCAAACAUUGAUUCUACAAAUGGAGAGCUCAACGAUGAAAAAAUGCCAUUAACAAUAGCUCCGUUUGUGGUUACGAUUCUCUUCAUCAACUCUGUAGGGUGGAAAUGCAAUCAAAGUCCUACAUUUGUUAAAUAAGGAAUGAUCAUGGGUUUAUAAGGGAGCACAACUAUCUCCAAACUAUCUCCAAUGGUACGAGGUCUAUUGAAAUGGUUCCAAAAGCAAAGUCAUAAAAAUUUAUACUCUUAAGGUAGACAAUAUCAUACCAUUAUGGAGAUAUCUAGAGUUCCUUCGUCUCUAACAAACUCCUUGCUGCAAAUCUCAAACCUCAAAUAUUUUAGAUCAUUUUUUUUCUCUUCUUUUUUAAUGGAAUUUUUCUCUGUAGGAAUAUGAGUGAAGCGAUUACCGAAAAAUGGUUAAUGUUCUACUUGUGGAUUUCGAUUAUUUUUUCUCAUUUCUGAGUUCUAUAUGAUCUGUACUGUUUGGCGGUGAAUUAUGUGAAUUUGGAAAUCUUUUCCUACUUUAUCUAAGAGAUGCCUUGAGUUUUCUUAUUUAUUAGGUUUGAUCAGCUGCUUAAACGUUUCGAUUCCAAACUUUAGGCAUACGAAUCACAUGUUUAUUGUAAAUGACAAUGCUAAUUUCACAAACGUAAGAAACCAUGCUCAAUAUAUGUGAAUGUUGUGUGUGAGUUAGAGAUAAUGCCAAGUAUUUAUUCUCUUUUUUUCAUUAAUGAAGAUUUCCCCUUUUGAAAAAGAAAAAAAAGGUUGAAAUAUGCCAAAAUUGGAAGCACUGUCUGUUCUUGAUGCACAUUACACAGCUACUGAUCUGGCUUGGAUGAGAGAAAAAGUUGUAUGGGUUCUGCUGGAGACUUUCGACCAGAACAGAAGGUGGAAUUUUCAGGACGAUAUUGCAGUUGAGUCCUCAACCUGUAUUUCUAGAGUUCAUCCCUUUAACUUGCAUUGUAUUUAGCAACUAAGUUUUGACUAGAAUAUUUUAGGGAUUUGCCACUGGGUAAAAGGUAUUCAUGUGUGAUCAAUUACAAUAGAAUGUGAAAAAUAUAGAAAAUGAAGACUUUAAAAGAGCUACAA